GAAACUAUGAUCUCUGAUCAUGUUUUCCUUUUUUCUUUCUUUUGCAGCGGAAGAACAUGCAAUGCUUGAGAAACAAGCUGCAGAGCUGGCAUGGAGAAAGUUUCUGCUGCCUCACUAUACAGUGAAGGUGACCCUGGAUCCGGACACGGCUCAUCCCCAGCUCAUCCUGUCAGAGGAAAACAGAAGAGUAAGAUUUCAAAGUGAA
rnacentral:lncRNA from 1 species